GAUGAACGCUGGCGGCGUGCUUAACACAUGCAAGUCGAACGGUGAACCAGGAGCUUGCUCCUGCGGAUCAGUGGCGAAUGGGUGAGUAACACGUGAGCAAUCUGCCCCGAACUCUGGGAUAAGCGCUGGAAACGGCGUCUAAUACCGGAUACGACGCGCGACGGCAUCGUCUGCGCGUGGAAAGAACUUCGGUUCGGGAUGAGCUCGCGGCCUAUCAGCUUGUUGGUGAGGUAAUGGCUCACCAAGGCGACGACGGGUAGCCGGCCUGAGAGGGUGACCGGCCACACUGGGACUGAGACACGGCCCAGACUCCUACGGGAGGCAGCAGUGGGGAAUAUUGCACAAUGGGCGCAAGCCUGAUGCAGCAACGCCGCGUGAGGGACGACGGCCUUCGGGUUGUAAACCUCUUUUAGUAGGGAAGAAGCGAAAGUGACGGUACCUGCAGAAAAAGCACCGGCUAACUACGUGCCAGCCGCCGCGGUAAAAC
rnacentral:rRNA from 1 species